UACGGAGGGUGCGAGCGUUGUCCGGAAUCAUUGGGCGUAAAGGGCGCGUAGGUGGCCCGGUCAGUCUUUGGUGAAAGCGCGGGGCUCAACCCUGCGUCGGCCAGGGAUACUGCCGCGGCUGGAGCACUGUAGAGGCAGGCGGAAUUCCGGGUGUAGCGGUGGAAUGCGCAGAUAUCAGGAGGAACACCGGUGGCGAAGGCGGGACUCUGGGCCGAUACUGACGCUGAGGAGCGAAAGCGUGGGGAGCAAACAGG
rnacentral:rRNA from 1 species